CCCCUUGUGGCUCAGUUGGUAGAGCAUGGUGUUUGCAACGCCAGGGUUGUGGGUUCGAUUCCCACGGGGGGC
rfam:Salmo salar isolate Sally breed double haploid chromosome ssa14, whole genome shotgun sequence.